rnacentral:lncRNA from 1 species
AGUCAGGCAUUUCAUUUAAAUAGGUGCCGAAAGGCAGAAGGUACAAGUGGUCUAGGGUCUAGAUACCUUGCUUCUACCUUACAGUAAAGAAUCAAGACCAAAGUAUUGUCCUAGGGUCUAGAUAUGUUUACUUGUAAUAAUACUUGAGGUGGUCAGCAUUCCACGGGUGAGGCAGCGUCUUGCCUGUGGAAUCACGAAGCUGAUAAGUGCCGGGGCGGCAGAUUUUGAUAAUCUCGUAAGGACCUUCCCAUUUAGGGCCGAGGGUACCUUCGUUAGGAUUUUUGGUAGCCAAGGAAACCUUGCGCAUGACCCAGUCCCCCAUUUUGAAAGCACGGGGCUUGACUCGGGAGUCAUAGUAUUUGGCGAUGCGUUGCUUGUACGCGGCAUUGCGCAUGCUCGAUUGGUCCCGGAGUUCCUCAAUGAAGUCGAGGUUGAGGGCCAACUGCUCGUCAUUCGCCGUGGCAUCGUAAGUGGAGGUUCGGUAUGUG